GGCGAUUUAUAAAUUGGUGGUAGGAGAGGUGGUGAUGGGGAUGGUGGUGGCUUGUAAUGUGUUGGUGGCGAUGGUGAUGGUGUUGGUGGAGGUGGCGAAUACUCUACACAUGGUAGAGGGGGAGGUGGAGAUGGUGGUGGUGGUGAAUGGACUGGAAGAGGUGGAGGAUAGAUAAGUGGUGGCGGAGGUGAUAAGUAGGGAUAGAUAUGUGGAGGAGGUGAAUUUGGGGGUGGAGGUGGUGGUGGCGAUUUAUAAAUUGGUGGUAG
rnacentral:misc_RNA from 1 species